rnacentral:rRNA from 1 species
CAGCAGCCACGGGAAUACAGAGGGUGCAAGCGUUAAUCGGAAUUACUGGGCGUAAAGCGCGCGUAGGUGGUUUGUUAAGUUGGAUGUGAAAUCCCCGGGCUCAACCUGGGAACUGCAUCCAAAACUGGCAAGCUAGAGUAUGAUAGAGGGUGGUGGAAUUUCCUGUGUAGCGGUGAAAUGCGUAGAUAUAGGAAGGAACACCAGUGGCGAAGGCGACCACCUGGACUGAUACUGACACUGAGGUGCGAAAGCGUGGGGAGCAAACAGGAUUAGAGACCCCAGUAGUCCCUGUCUCUUAUAC